rnacentral:rRNA from 1 species
UACGAAGGGGGCGAGCGUUGUUCGGAAUUACUGGGCGUAAAGGGCGCGUAGGCGGCGACUCAAGUUAGAUGUGAAAGUCCUGGGCUUAACCUGGGGACUGCAUUUGAUACUGGGUUGCCUGAAUUCGGGAGAGGAUAGCGGAAUUCCCAGUGUAGAAGUGAAAUUCGUAGAUAUUGGGAAGAACACCGGUGGCGAAGGCGGCUAUCUGGACCGACAUUGACGCUGAAGCGCGAAAGCGUGGGGAGCAAACAGG